rnacentral:scRNA from 1 species
CUAUUCUGUCAAGUCUGCCCUCCUCUGUCCUUCAGUGAUGGCGGUGGGGUCUCAGACAUACGACACACACUAACUUUGUCAAACAAAGGGGAUGAGUUCUAAGUUAGGAGCUCUAUCCUAAAGGCAGGCAAAGACAUA